CCCUCCAACACCCCCCCCAUCAAAGCAGUCUAGAACCCGUCCUGAUUCACCGUAGUGUUUCUAAAGAUUUGACAGGAUUAUAGAAACAAUGGCAGUCACAGGCUUGUGUAGAUGUUGUCCCUGAAGGAACUGGAUCCCCAACGACAAUUUAAGCUUAACCUUCCCAGAGCCUUCGGAUGAACGAAAAAAAAACACUUACAAAGCUUGCAUCAGGGAUGAAAACGAAAAUUCAGUGUGACUCAAAAUGGAAUCAAUGUAUGCAAAACGCGGCGAGGACACGCAACCACGAGGUGCCGGCCGAUCCUGCCCUCUUAGUUGUCAGGAAAAACGCAUGGAACAAAAAUGAAAUUAAGGAUGACUAUCAAGUAAAAAAACUAACAAAAAAUGCCAACAGUAACGUAGAUGUGGUAAUGUCCACCCACUUAGGACUUCAGUGCUUUAAAGUAGAUUUUCGCUCAGUAACUGUACUCCACUGUGGAGGUGGGUGCUAUGAGGGGUUUGGCUUGUUUACUGCCCUCGACAGGCAGCGAGUUUCAACACCAGCGCUCAGAAGUGGGAGACUUUCCGGAUGCAGCUGCUCUCUCCUGUUGGACUGCUGGUGUAUGUAGAGCAUCUGGGUAUCGCACCGUGCCCCAGAUAAUAAGGCAGGAUCAGUUUCACCUCGUCCUCCUGCAGCAUGACAGUCGCGUGACAGCAAUUAUGUAAUUAUGUGGCUCUUUUUACAUGCCCUCCCUGUCGUCCUCUCUCCUCACCUCCUCGGGAAUGCAUCCGGUGUUCUCCUCUCAUGUAUUUAAAAAAAAACGUUUUUGUAAAGUACAAAGAGAUCAGGAAUAAAUAAAAAAAAGUUGAGAAAGUGCCUGAAUAUCAAAUCCCUGGCUGCUACACCAUAUGCAGCUGUAUAGUCCUAGGAUUGGAUAGCCGUAAGCAACACGGUUUAACCUGGUCAAUCAGUGGGGGCGGAGCUUCUGGUUCAGCACGAAUAGUGCAGCCCGCAUCCAAGUCAGAGCAGGCGUGUUUGAUCAAUGCUC
ensembl:lncRNA